UCGGGUACUUAUUCAUUCUCGGAUGCUGCAUUGGAUUAUUGUCAGUCUUCAACAGGUUGACAGAAGGGACACCGAUUAGCAGAAACUUCACCAAAUCUCAAUCUAUCGUACAUAAAUCAGUUCAAAAUAAACGAAAAAAAUGAAAGAACGAUUUGUGAUAUUCUUAGUACUGGUCUCCUUCGCCGCAUUCGCCUAUUCUUCGUCACGAUCAAAAAAGCUAUACGAAUGUGUGACAUCUAGCGAAUGUGGAAACGGGCGAUGUUGUACAAUCGGUACUAUGUUGUUCUCUUUGCCAAAAUGCCAUAACUACGCUGGCAAGGGAGAGUUGUGCAACGCCGGACAAUCCGUUGCUGUAAA